ACAGAGCCAAACAACUGGCCCGCGCGGUCUCCGUGGCAACAGAGCCAAACAACUGGCCCGCGGUGGGCACGGGCGGCGGGCGGCGGGCGGCGGCCCCGCAGAGAUCCCGCUCCGGGCGGGACAGAGGCCCCUCGCCGGGACAGAAAUCACACAUACAUUUUCAGGAUUGUAGAGAGGUUGCCGGUUAGUCACCCUGGCUUGCUAUAUAAAGACCAGAUUAGACGGAGCAUGCUCAGUCUGCAAUGGCUGUAGACUUUAUAUAAAGAACAGGAGGCCUACUGGAAUCCGGUGAUCCUCUGCAAACAGUGUGGCUGACAUCUCUGGAGCUCAGUCUCAGGAAACAAAGACAAUGUGCAGAAGGAAUAAACAGACUGGUAUCUCAGAAAAAGUGUGGUGACCCCAGCAGGAGUUUGGGACUAUUAGCAAACAAAGCUACCCUGAGGAGGUGCUUCAGAGAAGGGGAAAGUAUGAAAGCACAGGACUUUGAGCACGUGAGUCUUUGGCUGCUGCUUCUUCUGGUCAGAAGCAUCUCGACCGUGUGCCAUGGCUACUUCUCCUGGGAACUGAACAUGUGUGACUCUGUUAGCCGGUAAACUUUUAAGAUCCCCCUGCAGCCAUGAGCAACGUAUACCUCAGCUGAUAAUUGUUUAUCUUAUGGGACUAAACUUUCGAUAACUAUACUCAGACUUUAUGGCCCUAGCGUACUCUUAACCCUUGAUGGUAAGAGCUUAUUUUGUCUUUUGCCUGUUUCACCCUAGUAAACCUUGUGUUGUUUAAACCA